rnacentral:rRNA from 1 species
CCCUUCGGGGGCAGCGGCGGACGGGUGAGUAACGCGUGGGAACGUGCCCUUUGGUACGGAACAACUGAGGGAAACUUCAGCUAAUACCGUAUGUGCCCUUCGGGGGAAAGAUUUAUCGCCAUUGGAGCGGCCCGCGUUAGAUUAGCUAGUUGGUAGGGUAAAGGCCUACCAAGGCGACGAUCUAUAGCUGGUCUGAGAGGAUGAUCAGCCACACUGGGACUGAGACACGGCCCAGACUCCUACGGGAGGCAGCAGUAGGGAAUCUUGCGCAAUGGGCGAAAGCCUGACGCAGCCAUGCCGCGUGAAUGAUGAAGGUCUUAGGAUUGUAAAAUUCUUUCACCGGGGACGAUAAUGACGGUACCCGGAGAAGAAGCCCCGGCUAACUUCGUGCCAGCAGCCGCGGUAAUACGAAGGGGGCUAGCGUUGCUCGGAAUUACUGGGCGUAAAGGGAGCGUAGGCGGAUAGUUUAGUCAGAGGUGAAAGCCCAGGGCUCAACCUUGGAAUUGCCUUUGAUACUGGCUAUCUUGAGUAUGGAAGAGGUAUGUGGAACUCCGAGUGUAGAGGUGAAAU